AGGCAGCAGUGGGGAAUCUUGCACAAUGGGCGAAAGCCUGAUGCAGCAACGCCGCGUGCGGGAAGAAGGCCCUAGGGUUGUAAACCGCUUUCAGCAGGGAAGAAAAUGACGGUACCUGUAGAAGAAGGUGCGGCCAACUACGUGCCAGCAGCCGCGGUAA
rnacentral:rRNA from 1 species